CUUAAGCAGAGCAGCUUUGAUGAUUGUUACAUUUGUAACUUACUGUUGACAAUUUCAAAUUAUUCUGUACAAUUUUUUUUUCUUUAGUCGAAUCUACAAAGCCUACCACUGUUACAUCUUCCUCUUCAACGAAUGUUCCUUCUACUUCUGCUAUAAGUGGUAUGUUUACAAAAUUUUACUUUUCAAUAUGUUUAUGCGUUUCUUGGCAAUUGCAGUAUCUGUUUUUAAUUACAACUUUGAUAACCUUUACUUGCAUCUUCAGCGGCUACUAUGACUAGUAAGUUUAAAAACUAUUAUUUGCAAACAUGUUCACACCUCUCUUUAUCAAUUGCAAAUUAUUAUAACACUUUCUUUUUAUCUUUAGUUCCAUGUGCAUAACUUUCUACUGGUAAAUUUAUGAUUUAAAAAUGUUUCUGAAUGGUUAUUGAAUUUAUGUUCCUAUUUAUAUACAAUAUUUAAUUCAUUAGUAUUGUGUUAUCCCUCAAAGUGUGGUAUAAUGAAAUUAUUACUCUCAUUAACAUUUUUUAAGCUAUCAUUGAUUAAUAUGUUGUUCAUAUUAUUUAUUCAUCCUAUCACUUUCACUAACAAUUGUUUUAUAUUACAUUUUAAAGCAGAACAGCUU